UACGGAGGAUGCGAGCGUUAUCCGGAUUUAUUGGGUGUAAAGGGAGCGUAGACGGAGAAGCAAGUCUGGAGUGAAAGCCCGGGGCUCAACCCCGGGACUGCUUUGGAAACUGUUAUUCUUGAGUGCCGGAGAGGUAAGCGGAAUUCCUAGUGUAGCGGUGAAAUGCGUAGAUAUUAGGAGGAACACCAGUGGCGAAGGCGGCUUACUGGACGGUAACUGACGUUGAGGCUCGAAAGCGUGGGGAGCAAACAGG
rnacentral:rRNA from 1 species